UACGUAGGUGGCAAGCGUUGUCCGGAUUUACUGGGCGUAAAGAGCGCGCAGGCGGUCGUUCAAGUCGCGUGUGAAAGCCCCCGGCUCAACUGGGGAGGGUCACGCGAUACUGAUCGACUCGAAGGCAGGAGAGGGUAGUGGAAUUCCCGGUGUAGUGGUGGAAUGCGUAGAUAUCGGGAGGAACACCAGUGGCGAAGGCGGUUACCUGGAGCUUUGCUGACGCUGAUGCGCGAAAGCGUGGGGAGCGAGCCGG
rnacentral:rRNA from 1 species